UACGGAGGGUGCAAGCGUUAUCCGGAUUUAUUGGGUUUAAAGGGUGCGUAGGCGGCCCGUUAAGUCAGGGGUGAAAGACGGUAGCUCAACUAUCGCAGUGCCCUUGAUACUGACGGGCUUGAAUGGACUAGAGGUAGGCGGAAUGUGACAAGUAGCGGUGAAAUGCAUAGAUAUGUCACAGAACACCGAUUGCGAAGGCAGCUUACUAUGGUCAUAUUGACGCUGAGGCACGAAAGCGUUGGGGAUCAAACAGG
rnacentral:rRNA from 1 species